rnacentral:rRNA from 1 species
AACGAACGCUGGCGGCAUGCCUAACACAUGCAAGUCGAACGAUUGCCUUCGGGUGAUUGUGGCGCACGGGUGCGUAACGCGUGGGAAUCUGCCCUUAGGUUCGGAAUAACAGCUGGAAGCGGCUGCUAAUACCGGAUGAUAUCGCGAGAUCAAAGAUUUAUCGCCUGAGGAUGAGCCCGAGUUGGAUUAGGUAGUUGGUGGGGUAAAGGCCUACCAAGCCGACGAUCCAUAGCUGGUCUGAGAGGAUGAUCAGCCACACUGGGACUGGGACACGGCCCAGACUCCUACGGGAGGCAGCAGUGGUGAAUAUUGGACACCGGCGCAAGCCUGAUCCAGCAAUGCCGCGUGAGUGAUGAAGUCCCUAGGGUUGUAAAGCUCUUUUACCCGGGAAGAUAAUGACGGUACCGGGAGAAUAAGCCCCGGCUAACUCCGUG